GUUCCUGUAGCUUAAUUACAAAAGCCUGGCCGUGAAGACACCAAAAUGGGCGCACUGCCCCAGAAACA
rnacentral:tRNA from 1 species